AGAACGAACGCUGGCGGCAUGCCUAACACAUGCAAGUCGAACGAGACCUUCGGGUCUAGUGGCGCACGGGUGCGUAACGCGUGGGAAUCUGCCCUUGGGUUCGGGAUAACAGUUGGAAACGACUGCUAAUACCGGAUGAUGUCUUCGGACCAAAGAUUUAUCGCCCAAGGAUGAGCCCGCGUAGGAUUAGGCUUGUUGGUGAGGUAAGAGCUCACCAAGGCGACGAUCCUUAGCUGGUCUGAGAGGAAUGAUCAGCCACACUGGGACUGAGACACGGCCCAGACUCCGUACGGGAGGCAGCAGGUGGGGAAUAUUGGACAAGUGGGACGAAAGCCUGAUACCAGCAAGUCGCCGCGUGAGUGAUGAAGGCUUAGGUUAGUAAGCUCGUUUACCGGAUG
rnacentral:rRNA from 1 species